AGGAAAGUGGCCGGCGUCUUACCAUGCAGUCGAACGAUGAUCCGGUGCUUGCACCGGGGAUUAGUGGCGAACGGGUGAGUAACACGUGAGUAACCUGCCCUUGACUCUGGGAUAAGCCUGGGAAACCGGGUCUAAUACCGGAUAUGACCUGUCACCGCAUGGUGGCGGGUGGAAAGAUUUUUUGGUCUUGGAUGGACUCGCGGCCUAUCAGCUUGUUGGUGGGGUAAUGGCCUACCAAGGCGACGACGGGUAGCCGGCCUGAGAGGGUGACCGGCCACACUGGGACUGAGACACGGCCCAGACUCCUACGGGAGGCAGCAGUGGGGAAUAUUGCACAAUGGGCGCAAGCCUGAUGCAGCGACGCCGCGUGAGGGAUGAAUGCCUUCGGGUUGUAAACCUCUUUCAGCAGGGAAGAAGCGAAAGUGACGGUACCUGCAGAAGAAGCGCCGGCUAACUACGUGCCAGCAGCCGCGGUAAUACGUAGGGCGCAAGCGUUGUCCGGAAUUAUUGGGCGUAAAGAGCUCGUAGGCGGUUUGUCGCGUCUGCUGUGAAAGCCCGGGGCUCAACCCCGGGUCUGCAGUGGGUACGGGCAGACUAGAGUGCAGUAGGGGAGACUGGAAUUCCUGGUGUAGCGGUGAAAUGCGCAGAUAUCAGGAGGAACACCGAUGGCGAAGGCAGGUCUCUGGGCUGUAACUGACGCUGAGGAGCGAAAGCAUGGGGAGCGAACAGGAUUAGAUACCCUGGUAGUCCAUGCCGUAAACGUUGGGCACUAGGUGUGGGGGACAUUCCACGUUUUCCGCGCCGUAGCUAACGCAUUAAGUGCCCCGCCUGGGGAGUACGGCCGCAAGGCUAAAACUCAAAGGAAUUGACGGGGGCCCGCACAAGCGGCGGAGCAUGCGGAUUAAUUCGAUGCAACGCGAAGAACCUUACCAAGGCUUGACAUGGGCCGGACCGGGCUGGAAACAGUCCUUCCCUUCGGGGCCGGUUCACAGGUGGUGCA
rnacentral:rRNA from 1 species